GAUGAACGCUGGCGGCGUGCCUAAUACAUGCAAGUCGAGCGAACAGACGAGGAGCUUGCUCCUCUGACGUUAGCGGCGGACGGGUGAGUAACACGUGGAUAACCUACCUAUAAGACUGGGAUAACUUCGGGAAACCGGAGCUAAUACCGGAUAAUAUAUUGAACCGCAUGGUUCAAUAGUGAAAGACGGUUUUGCUGUCACUUAUAGAUGGAUCCGCGCCGCAUUAGCUAGUUGGUAAGGUAACGGCUUACCAAGGCAACGAUGCAUAGCCGACCUGUGAGGGUGAUCGGCCAAACUGGAACUGGGAGACGGUCCAGACUCCUACGGGAGGCAACAGUAGGGAAUCUUCCGCAAUGGGCGAAAGCCUGACGGAGCAACGCCGCGUGAGUGAUGAAGGUCUUCGGAUCGUAAAACUCUGUUAUUAGGGAAGAACAAAUGUGUAAGUAACUGUGCACGUCUUGACGGUACCUAAUCAGAAAGCCACGGCUAACUACGUG
rnacentral:rRNA from 1 species